CACUUCCACAGGUGAGCCCAGAGGGCAGGUUGUCUUCUCCAGGUGGGAGGUGAAGUUCCUCAAGGGCCUCCCGCCUUGCCUUUCUGUGGGGUUUGUUGGGGUUAAUGACCAUCCGUCUGCUGUGGGUUUCUCUGGACAGACGGAACGGCCACCGUCAUGGACACAGACUACACGACCUAUCUCUUCACACAUUUAUCCAACGGCAAAGUGAGCCUCCUGUCACUCUAUGGCCGUGAUAAAGAAAGUGCCUAAGGAAGUCAAGAAGAAGUUCAACGGCCGUGACCAAAAAAGUGGGGAUGAAGCCGUCGCAUCGCUUUAAACCGCGGAAAGAAGGUACCUGUGGGUGAUGGGGCGCGUAGUAGUUGGGGGAGAGGCUCCUUCCUCGCAUCUGAAUCUCACAUGUUUUUCCUUCCACAGAUUUCUGCACAAGCCCUCCGGCAUAGGCCCUAAAGGAACCCACGAGGCAGCCACGGCCUUGUUCCUCCAAAAGCGGGACUCGAACAUUGAGCGGAAUGUGACGACGCCGACAUCACCACCAAGUCCCAACAAUAAAGGAAUCAUGAAACUCUAA
rnacentral:lncRNA from 11 species